AACUUCUUCGCACCACUUAGAAUUUAAAAUGAUAUAUUUAUUAGGAUUUUAAUAUUAUGUUUGCAAACCAGAGUGACCUUCACGGUAAACCUCAUGAAGUAGCAGUGGCGAAUUUAAAGGUUCAAAUAAAAUUGGUAAAUCUAUAAAAGAGCUCUCGUACAAAAUUUAUUAUUAACACUAACAAUGGUCACAUACUUACCCCAAAUUUAUAAAACCACUUGAUUCUCUCGCGAAUAAUAAUAAUAAAUUUUUUUUUUUUUUUAAAAAAUUACACCAUUUUUACAAAUAAAACAAAAUUAAUAUAUAGUAUAUAAAAUAAAAUUAUAAAAUUAUAGAUGAGGAUCUUUGUGAAUCUAGUCUUGGAAAAAU